AAGCUCACUUCAGCAGCACAUAUACUAAAAUUGUAAUGACACAGAGAUUGGCAUGGCCUCUGCACAAGGAUGACAUGCAAAUCUGUGAAAUGUUCCACAUUUAA
ensembl:snRNA U6 U6 spliceosomal RNA